rnacentral:rRNA from 1 species
AGUGAACGCUGGCGGUAGGCCUAACACAUGCAAGUCGAACGGCAGCACAGUAAGAGCUUGCUCUUACGGGUGGCGAGUGGCGGACGGGUGAGGAAUACAUCGGAAUCUACUUUUUCGUGGGGGAUAACGUAGGGAAACUUACGCUAAUACCGCAUACGACCUACGGGUGAAAGCAGGGGAUCUUCGGACCUUGCGCGAUUGAAUGAGCCGAUGUCGGAUUAGCUAGUUGGCGGGGUAAAGGCCCACCAAGGCGACGAUCCGUAGCUGGUCUGAGAGGAUGAUCAGCCACACUGGAACUGAGACACGUUCCAGACUCCUACGGGAGGCAGCAGUGGGGAAUAUUGGCCAAUGGGCGCAAGCCUGAUCCAGCCAUACCGCGUGGGUGAAGAAGGCCUUCGGGUUGUAAAGCCCUUUUGUUGGGAAAGAAAAGCAGCAGGUUAAUACCCCGCUGUUCUGACGGUACCCAAAGAAUAAGCACCGGCUAACUUCGUG